GGACGAGGCUACCAUGCAAGUCGAGCGGUAGCACAGAGAGCUUGCUCUCGGGUGACGAGCGGCGGACGGGUGAGUAAUGUCUGGGAAACUGCCUGAUGGAGGGGGAUAACUACUGGAAACGGUAGCUAAUACCGCAUAAUGUCGCAAGACCAAAGUGGGGGACCUUCGGGCCUCAUGCCAUCAGAUGUGCCCAGAUGGGAUUAGCUAGUAGGUGGGGUAACGGCUCACCUAGGCGACGAUCCCUAGCUGGUCUGAGAGGAUGACCAGCCACACUGGAACUGAGACACGGUCCAGACUCCUACGGGAGGCAGCAGUGGGGAAUAUUGCACAAUGGGCGCAAGCCUGAUGCAGCCAUGCCGCGUGUGUGAAGAAGGCCUUCGGGUUGUAAAGCACUUUCAGCGGGGAGGAAGGCGUUAAGGUUAAUAACCUUGUCGAUUGACGUUACCCGCAGAAGAAGCACCGGCUAACUCCGUGCCAGCAGCCGCGGUAAUACGGAGGGUGCAAGCGUUAAUCGGAAUUACUGGGCGUAAAGCGCACGCAGGCGGUCUGUCAAGUCGGAUGUGAAAUCCCCGGGCUCAACCUGGGAACUGCAUUCGAAACUGGCAGGCUAGAGUCUUGUAGAGGGGGGUAGAAUUCCAGGUGUAGCGGUGAAAUGCGUAGAGAUCUGGAGGAAUACCGGUGGCGAAGGCGGCCCCCUGGACAAAGACUGACGCUCAGGUGCGAAAGCGUGGGGAGCAAACAGGAUUAGAUACCCUGGUAGUCCACGCCGUAAACGAUGUCGAUUUGGAGGUUGUGCCCUUGAGGCGUGGCUUCCGGAGCUAACGCGUUAAAUCGACCGCCUGGGGAGUACGGCCGCAAGGUUAAAACUCAAAUGAAUUGACGGGGGCCCGCACAAGCGGUGGAGCAUGUGGUUAAUUCGAUGCACGCGAAAACCUUACUGGUCUUGACUCCACAGACUUUCC
rnacentral:rRNA from 1 species